rnacentral:lncRNA from 1 species
GGGGGACCAGCUGGACCACAGGCAGCUCCUUGACCUGGGCCCAGUUCAGCAUCCUCAUCCGGCCUCUGUUUGAGUCCUUCAACGGGAUGGUGUCCACGGCAAGUGUGCACACCCUCCGCCAGACCUCACUGGCCUGGCUGGACCAGUACUGCUCUCUGCCCGCUCUCCGGCCAACUGUCCUGAACUCCCUACGCCAGCUGGGCACAUCUACCAGUAUCCUGACCGACCCGGGCCGCAUCCCUGAGCAAGCCACACGGGCAGUCACAGAGGGCACCCUUGGCAAACCUUUAUAGUCCUGGCCAGAGCCUGCUGCUCACUCAGCUGCCCUGGGGGCUGCUUUCCCUGGGCACGGGCUCCAGGGAUCAUCUCUGGGCACUCCCUUCCUGCUCCAGGCCCUGGCUCUGCCCUUCCCUGGGGGGUGGAGCAGGGUCCAGGUUUCACACUUGCCACCUCCUGGAGGUCAAGAAGAGCAGAGUCCCCGUCCCUGCUCUGCCAGUGUGCUCCAGCACCGUGACCUUGGGUGACUCGUCCGCUGUCUUUGGACCGCUGUGUUUCAAUCUGCAAAAUGGGGAUGGGGAAGGUUCAAUCAGCAGAUGACCCCCAGGCCUUGGCAGCUGUGACAUUGGGGGCCUAGGCUGGCAACUCCGGGGGCUCAACGAUGGGAAGAGGAGGAUGCUGUUUCUCUGUCACCUCCACUUGCUCCCCGACAGGUGGGGCACAGACCUCUGUUCCUGAGCAGAGAAGCAGAAAAGGAGGUUCCCUCUCUCUGCUCCUUCACUGCUGACCCAGAGGGGCUGCAGGAUGGUUUCCCCUGGGAGAGGCCAGGAGGACCUGAUCCCAGGAGACACCAGGGCCAGAGUGACCACAGCAGGGCAGGCAUCAUGUGUGUGUGUGUGUGGAUGUGUGUGUGUGGGUUUUGUAAAGAAUUCUUGACCAAUAAAAGCAAAAACUGUCUGCUGGUUUGUUGGUGUGCUGGUCAGUGUCUCACACUGGGAUGGAGAGAGAGCCCGUUGGCAGUGGGAAGUGGCUUUGCAGAGGGCCUGGGCAUUUACUCUGAGCUGGAAGCAGCUGGAGGGCUUUGAGUGGAGG